CUCUGCUGUUUGUGGGGCGUGCUAGAAACGUGGUCCUAAAAAGAAUGGCGUCCAUUUACAUAAUGCUUUGUUUGCGUUUCGCAAGUUUCUUUCGGUUAAAGCCACAGAAACCCCACCUCCUGCCCUUGUGUCGUUUCCACCGCGGCACCCUUUUCCGACAUUAGAAACAAUAGUGUACGCCUGUGGAGGCCUCGUUUGUUCAGGGGCUGCCGGCCAGGGCUUCAGGACGUUUCUGCGGCUUUCCCCGCGCGGCCUGGGCUCCCGCGGCUGCUUUUCGGGCCCAUGGGCGCAGCCACUGCGCCAGGCUCAAGGGGGGCGGCCCCGUCAGGGCCCGCCAUCUUGGAAGGCCUUUUUUGCCGGUUCUUCCCGCUGAGGAAGUGUCGCUCAAGACGCUGGCCUAUGAGUUGUGAUUUCUGCCUUUUCCCCUUCCUCCUUGGGCUAAGCCAGACCAGAAAGGGCCCCGUGCGCAACGUGCUUCACAAUCUCUCAGGGAAAGCGGCUAACGUGGCGCUACUCCGCCUCCCCUGUUCCUUACCCUUGGGGCGGCCGCCAUGUUUCCUGAACACAAAAUGGCGACACGUGGUUAGCAUUCGUCGCCAACGAGAAAUUGGGGUCGGCCCGAAAGCUCUAGAAUGCACCCCUCUUCCUCCCCGGGGCCUUCCACCUCCGCGAGUUUUAUGACUUAAAAAAGCCCACAGGCUGGUCUGAAGGUCGGAGGCCUAAUUUUAACGCGUUUUCCUCCCUUUAAUUUGAAACGGGAACGCGAAUGACUGUAAAAUGUGGGCACAAUAUUUAAUCUCUCGCCUUUUUAAAGCUUAAUAGUGGAUAAUAGGGGGGCAGUAUCAAGGGAUAAUUUGGGUCCCCACAGUACCAAAGCAUUUAGAAACCUCUGUUUAAUUUAAGGAAUGAGAUAAGUUACUGCUUUUCUAGACUUCCUAGCAUGGGCUGUUGUGCUGGAGAGAACGAGAGCUACGAAGAGACUACAGUGCCUCUGACUUUUUCAUAGGACAGUUGGCCGAGGAAGACAAACAUAAAGAUGAAGUGCUUAAUUCAAGGUCACACAAUGUCGGGGAUGGACCUCCAGAUUUCCUUACUGACCUGCAUUAUCUUGUGGAUACCUGAGUGAAUUCCACACCACCCAUUUUAUAGAUGAAACCACUGAGACAUGGAGCAAUUGACUGAGUAGUCACUGCCCCACCCCUGCCUGGAGCCUCACACAUGACUCGCCUCCUCUCAGUGACCACAGGUGAGACGUGGUCUUGUAACACAGUGGUUAAGAAUGUGACUUUGGAGCCAGCCUGCUAGGGGCUGAAUUCUGACUCAGCCAUUUACUAACUGUGUGACCUUAGGCUGGAGUGCAAUGGCAUGAUCUCGGCUCAUCACAACCUCUGCUUCCUGGGUUCAAGCGAUUCUCCUGCCUCAGCCUCCCGAGUACCUGGGACUACAGGCACUCGCCACCAUGCCCGGCUGAUUUUUGUAUUUUUAAUAGAGAUGGUUUCACUAUGUUGGCCAGGCUGGUCUCGAACUCCUGACCUUGUGAUCUGCCCACCUCAGCCUCGAAAAGUGCUGGGAUUACAGGCGUGAGCCACUGCGCCCAGCCUUGUAUUUUUUUUCAGUUUGGGUAGCUGUCCCUAAUUCAUUUGUUAAAGGAGAAGCAAGAGCAAGAACCUUUAAUCUGUUCUCCUCUUCCCUAAUUUGAAAGUAGCUUGUUAUUUUGAAUAUCACUUUCUCUGAAAUAGCACAUCUCCAUCUCAGAGAAUGGAUUUAAUGUUUGGAUACAGCCAAAAGUCAUUUCAUUACCAAACCAUGGGGUGAAUAUACCAUGUAAAGCAGUUUGGGAUCAGAACUCACAGUCUGAAUUGUAAGUGAUGAGACUGCUGUCUCUCUGCUACAGCUUCUUGGCUGGCUCUGAAGGCUCUUUGAAGGCAGAUCCUAACAAGGGGACUGCUUUGAAGGGCCAUUGUUCAUUUGGAAUGAUAAAGUCUAUGUUGUUCAAAAAACAAAUGCUUGUAGCAGGUAUUUUUUCACUCCAGACUGAGAAUAUUGGUGGGAUAUUGAUAAGGGGUACUGAAUGGUAAUAAACAUGUGCUCUAGCUCUGUGCUAGUCAGCUUAUUUCAGAACUCUAGUUUGAUUCAGUUUCUUGCCUCUGACUCAAAAUGGAGGGAGAGUGAUUUUUACAUAAGAGAACACACCCACAUAUCCUUUUGGCAGCAGCUACCUGCCAGAGAUGUUGAAGAAGAGUAGCCAACCUUUACACAGCAGAUAUUGUGUGCCAGUCAUAGUCCUAAGUAUAAUACCUUACAUGUAUAAACUUCUUAUAAGGUUGGUGCUCUGUACCGAAUUGAAUAGUAUCCCCCAAAAUUCAUGUUGUCCCAGAACCUAUGAAAGUGAUCUUACUUGAGGGAGGGGGGAGGGGGGAGGGAUAGCAUUAGGAGAUAUACCUAAUGCUAAAUGACGAGUUAAUGGGUGUAGCACACCAGCAUGGCACAUGUAUACAUAUGUAACUAACCUGCACAUUGUGCACAUGUACCCUAAAACUUAAAGUAUAAUAAUAAU
rnacentral:lncRNA from 1 species